rnacentral:rRNA from 1 species
AUUGAACGCUGGCGGCAUGCUUUACACAUGCAAGUCGAACGGUAACAGGCCUUCGGGUGCUGACGAGUGGCGAACGGGUGAGUAAUGCAUCGGAACGUACCCAGAGGUGGGGGAUAACGCAGCGAAAGCUGUGCUAAUACCGCAUGUGAUCUGAGGAUGAAAGCGGGGGACCGAGCAGCAAUGUUUGGCCUCGCGCCUUUGGAGCGGCCGAUGUCGGAUUAGCUAGUUGGUGGGGUAAAGGCCUACCAAGGCGACGAUCCGUAGCUGGUCUGAGAGGACGACCAGCCACACUGGGACUGAGACACGGCCCAGACUCCUACGGGAGGCAGCAGUGGGGUAUUUUGGACAAUGGGCGCAAGCCUGAUCCAGCAAUGCCGCGUGCGGGAAGAAGGCCUUCGGGUUGUAAUCCGCUUUUGGCAGGAACGAAACGGUGUCCGCUAAUACCGGGCGCUAAUGACGGUACCUGCAGAAUAAGCACCGGCUAACUACGUG